ensembl:miRNA
UAGAGAUGGGGUUUCACCAUGUUGGUCAGGCUGGUCUCAAACUCCUGAUCUCAGGUGAUCCACCCACC